GACGAACGCUGGCGGUGUGCUUAACACAUGCAAGUGGUGCGACGAACCAGAGCUUGCUCUGGGGCAAAGCCGCGAACGGGUGAGUAACACGUGGGUAAUCUACCCCGAUGACCGGGACAACCCGAGGAAACUCGGGCUAAUACCGGAUGUGGUGCGGAGACAUAAGUCUCUUCACUAAAGGUAGCUUCGGCUUCCGCAUUGGGAGGGGCGCGCGCCCCAUUAGCUUGUUGGUGGGGUAAAGGCCUACCAAGGCAACGAUGGGUAGCUGGUCUGAGAGGACGAUCAGCCACACUGGGACUGAGACACGGCCCAGACUCCUACGGGAGGCAGCAGUGGGGAAUCUUGCGCAAUGCGCGAAAGCGUGACGCAGCAACACCGCGUGAGGGAAGAAGGCCUUAGGGUUGUAAACCUCUUUCAGAUGGGACGAAGGUUCUCCGGUGAAUAGCCGAGAGGAUUGACGGUACCGUCAGAAGAAGCACCGGCUAACUACGUG
rnacentral:rRNA from 1 species